GCAAAAGGCAAGGAAUGGACCUCCACAGAGAAGUCGAGGGAAGAGGAUCAGCAGGCUUCUAACCAACUAAAUACAAUUGCUUUGCCAGGAACAUCAGCAAAGGAAACCAAAGAAAAAAUGUCUGUCAAAGGCGAGAAAGUGCUCUGCCCUAAGGAGAAGGCAGAGCACACCGAUAACCCCAGACCUCAGAAGAAGAUACCAAUCCCUUCAUUACCCUCUAAACUGCCACCUGUUAAUCUGAUUCACCAGGACAUUCUGCGGGCCUGGUGCCAACAAUUGAAGCUGAGCUCCAAAGGCCAGAAAUUGGAUGCAUGUAAGUGCCUGUGUGCCUACCCAAAUCAAAAGGAUUUUCCUAGCACAGCAAAAGAGGCCAAAAUCCGGAAAUCAUUGCAAAAAAAAUUAAAGGUGGACAAAGGGGAACAUCCCUGCAAGGUGUCAGACACACCCUCCUGAAGCGGCUCUUCCCCUGCGGGGGGGCUGCCUGCCCUGGAGGAUUCCACUGCUCUCCUCGAGGGAAUUAAUACAGUUGUGGUGACAACUUCUGCCCCAGAGGCUUUGCUGGCCUCCUGGGUGAGGAUUUCGGCCAGGGCGAGGACGCCAGAAACAGUGGAAUCUCCAGAAGAGGCCUCUGGUGUCAGGUGGUGUGUGGUCCAUGGGAAGAGUCUCCCUGCAGACACAGAUGGUUGGGUUCACCUGCAGUUUCAUGCUGGUCAAGCCUGGGUUCCAGAAAAGCAAGAAGGGAGAAUGAGUGCACUCUUCUUGCUUCCUGCCUCCAAUUUUCCACCCCCGCACCUUGAAGACAAUAUGUUGUGCCCCAAAUGUGUUCACAGGAACAAGGUCUUAAUAAAAAGCCUCCAAUGGGAAUAGAAUAUCAGGAAAAAGGCCACAUCUAUGGUAAUUAAUGGCAGAAAAGCUGGAGAGUUGGAUUCUGUGGUGCUGCUGACAGGUGAACUCUGGUCCUCUGCACACCUGUUUAUGGGUCAUGCAGACUGGUGGGGUGGCAGAUGUUAGCCUAAGACCCCUAACAGUGCCUGUUGCUUUGUGAGUGGAGAUAGGGACUCUUACAUUUAAAAACAGAAAAACAUUUCACAAAUUACCAUAAAUUGUAGUUAAUAUGUAGAAAAACUCAUUCAUACUACUUUUCUAAAAUAGACAUGACUUCAGCAGCAGCUCUUUUUUGUUGUUUUUGAGACAGUGUCUCACUCUGUUGCCCAGGCUGGAGUGCAGUAGUGCAAUCUCAGUUCAGUGCAAUCUCCGCCUCCUGGGUUCAAAUUAUUCUCCUGCCUCAGCCUCCUGAGUAGCUGGGAUUACAGGCACCCGCCACCACACCCAGCUAAUUUUUUGUAUUUUUAGUAGAGAUGGGGUUUCACCAUGUUGGCCAGGCUGGUCUCAAACUCCUGGACUCAAGUGAUCCACCCUCUUCAGCCUCCCAAAAUGCUGGGAUUAUGGGCAUGAGCCCCUGCACCCGACCUUCAACAGCUCCUUUAAGUGAGUUCUUCAGCUGAGCGUUGUGAAGGACUUGGGUAAAACAGCAGUUGGCUCUUGUGCUCAAUUUUCUCUUCCUCUGAACACUGACUACUUUAGGAGCUGCUUCAUUCCAAUUGCAAUUUCAUAAAACGUGAAGUAUUUUAAGGCAAAGAAAGGCCGUUAAUUCUCUCCCUCCCCCAAACACAUGAUUUUUAAUAUUCAAACCAUUAUUUUUCAAAGUUCUCUUAAAAACCUGAGAUUUCUAUGGCUUGACUCCAGGAUCAAAACACAAGGGACUUUGUCUGUAUUAUUUCACUUAUAAUUGUUUUGUAUAUUUCUGGUGUUUAGAAUGUUUAAGGUUGCUUCCCAUUCGUAAAUACAUAAUAUAUUGAACUUAAAAUGUGUUUAUUAACCAAUUCUCCAUAAAUAAACAUAAGAUGUGUAUGUAAAAUAAUUCAUCUGUUGUAUUUAGGGAACCAUAUUCAUUGCACGCAAAUUUUAUUGUUAGUGUUCUUAAUUCAAAAGGAGGGGUAAACCAAAACGUGUGAUUUUUCUUCUGUA